AGUAAAGUCAGCUAACAAAGCUCUUGGGCCCAUACCCCAACCAUGUUGGUUAAAAUCCUUCCUUUACUA
rnacentral:tRNA from 1 species